CCUUCCGAGUUCCCUGGAACGGGACGCCACANAGGGUGAGAGCCCCGUCUGGUAGGAUGCCAAGCCGGUGUAAAGCGCCUUCGACGAGUCGAGUAGUUUGGGAAUGCUGCUCUAAAUGGGAGGUAUAUGUCUUCUAAAGCUAAAUACUGGCCAGAGACCGAUAGCGCACAAGUAGAGUGAUCGAAAGAUGAAAAGCACUUUGAAAAGAGGGUUAAACAGUACGUGAAAUUGUUGAAAGGGAAGCGCUCGUGACCAGACUUGGGCCAGGCGGAUCAUCCGGCGUUCUCGCCGGUGCACUUCGUCGGGCCCAGGCCAGCAUCAGUUCGCCGCGGGGGAGAAAGGCUCCGGGAACGUAGCUCCUCCGGGGAGUGUUAUAGCCCGCUGCGCAAUGCCCUGCGGCGGACUGAGGUUCGCGCUCCGCAAGGAUGCUGGCGUAAUGGUCAUCAGCGACCCGUCUUGAAACACGGACCAAGGAGUCGUCUUCGUAUGCGAGUGUUCGGGUGUCAAACCCCUACGCGGAAUGAAAGUGAAGGCAGGUGAGAGCCUCGGCGCAUCAUCGACCGAUCCUGAUGUUCUCGGAUGGAUUUGAGUAAGAGCAUACGGGGCCGGACCCGAAAGAAGGUGA
rnacentral:rRNA from 1 species